GCCGGAGGGUCGGCGUUUCCUCCUGCCUUUGAUCAGGACACUCCUGUACACCUGCAAGGAAGUGGGCACAGCAAAGCAAGGGUGGUCAGAGCCUUAAAGAAAAUGAACACCUCUAAGUACCUGCGGCCAAAUACAUAAACUACUUCACAACUGCUGGAGGCUGUGGUGAUAAUCUACUCUUUUGCUAGUGAGAAGUUGCCUGCAUAAGAAAACUACUCUUCAGGUAUGUCCAUGACUAGACAAAGGGUAUAGAUUAACUUGGAAAUUGAAUAUUCUUUUAUUAUUUCUAAUAAUAACUUCAUCUUUCAAAAAUCUCUGAAGACUUACCAAAAUGCAAACUAAGCAAAGCACAAAUUAGACCAAACAGUACCUUUCUAAAGAAGAGUCCAAGUGAGCCCAUCUUCCGGGGCCUGCUGGACGUGGCAGUGGGGAAUGGCUGGGUUUGUCUCUGCUCUCCAGGGGAGAUCUGCUGGACAGUUAAUUGGCCUGGUAACUGCAAGGUUGCUCCAGUCAUCUGGGUGUUGAGGGUGCCAGCAAGGGUCUGGGCACUGAGCGGCUGGAUGGGAGCAGGGACAGCUGGAGGCUGGGCUCCUACAUUUACUUGGACUGGGAAGAAAGUUAUUCCUCCAUUUUCAUUGGCAAUACCUGUAGUAUAAGAAAGAGUCUGAAAUAAGAGUAAGCUGGGGGGGGACACGUGUGUUUCUGGUUUUGCUGUUUUGUUUUUUUAAAGAAUUCAGUGAUUCUUUUCUUAGUUGCUUAUAACUAAAAAUGAAAUUGUUUCAUCAAAAUACUUCAGACAAGAAGAUAAUUACAUUGAACUAAUUUUAAUACUAAUGCAACUUUCAUCUUGUGCUAGUUCAGGAAGCAAGGUUUACUGAAAUAACUAAUUUUUUUAAAAUGGAUGUUGGCAGUCAGAACAUCCUGGUGCUGUACAUGUUCCGUUUCUACAUUCUGCUUAUCUAUUCAUACAGUUCCUCCUGAUCAUGAAACCUUAAACUUACCUUUUUCUCCACUGGCCUGCUGUUGUCCCCCCCUAUACUGUGUGCUGAUACUCUGAUGGGAACAAGACUGAAUAGUUGGCCAGUAGCUUCUCUUACCUUGCACUGGUAUUGUGACAGUUUGCCCGUUAUUGGCUGUGACAGUGGCAGUUGCCACUGUGACCAGUGUCUGGCCAGGCACGGGAGUCACGGACACGGCCUCGGGGUUCACGUUCUGCACGGGCACCGUGUUCACCACGGGCUGCUGGGAAACCCUGACGGGAGUCCCGUUGUCAGAGCUGGAAUCAUUAUCAGCAAACAGUCUUCUCCUGGUUGGAUUGGCUGUAGGAGAACUGUAUCUGUCAUACAGGGUAGUUGGAGAGGAUGAAAGGCCUGCAGAUUAAAAACACACAUAGACUGUAACUCUGCUUGUAUAGUCCUCUGUUGUACAAAUACGUGACAAAUCUAAUGAGAACCAAAACAGGUCAUGCAGAGCUCUUCAGGGAACAUUUUUUUAAAAUUCCUGAUGUUUACAUUUGUGGCUUACAGAUUGCUUUUAGGGAUGACUUCAUCUCAACCAGUGCUGUGUUUAGUAAUCUUCUAAGCUAAUGUGUACUAUGUUUUGUUUUUCCAGAGAAAAAAGUUUGAGACUUCAUGUAACUAAAUCUAUAGUGGAGCUUCUGUUCUGGUGUAACAAUAAAGCAAACUGUCCCAGUGCUGCUGAUUAGAACGUAAGUUGUGUGUGUGUAUAAAUACUAUUUAUCAAAUAUAUGCUACUAAUAUCCAUAAUCUUCUGAAAACACCCUGUCAAAAGAUAAUUGUUUUCUCACCAAAAUAGUGAAUGCACCCGUUUGAGACAUCUGACUUAACUAUGAGUUGCAACAGAAAUACAAUUUCCAGGUGUGUUUGCAGUCGACUGUACAUUGACCUGAAAGCUUCAUUGCUGCACACCACGGAGAUUAUGGAAAAAUUCAAGCCACAGUGUGAGAAGUGUAAGUCUAUUUUGCUUUACCUUUUCCAAGUCCUCCAGUUUCAGCACGAACCUCGUUGAUUCGUCGUGGUGUCAAUGGAGAACCUGCAACACUGUUCCCAGCAGAUCUCUCAUAGUACUGAGGUGGCAUCACCUAAAACAUUGAUACUGUUGUUAGAGUAUCUGUAUCACAGGGUGACAUAACCAUUCUAUGAUUUUUUAAGAGCUUCUGCACUGCAAAUUUUGAAGCAAAACUGUAUGGGAAAAAAUUAAAAUAACACUGAACAACUUACCAUAUUUUAUAUGGUAUUGUACUGAUCUAGAAGAUCCAGCAUUGGAAUAAUCUUUCUGUGACUAUACUCACAAGUUUAUACUUUCUAACAUGUUUUUUUCUUGUCCGGUCAUCUUUCCAGCUGCAAGUGACUGGUCCAGACCUUCCCUGAUUAUCCAUUUAGUUCACUGCUCUGCUAUGAUGUGUAAACAUCUGGGAUGUCUCUGGAGACAUCUGAAGACACUUCCCUGCACUGAUUAGCUUGGAGGGAAAAACUGUAAAUUGAACAUGUGAAGCCUCUCCUUCAGGGUACAACGUCCACUCUUCCAUCCUGUCUGAUCAGGAAAAAGAUGUAAAACACAAAAGAAGUGCUCACCUCUUCACAACUGGGAACUUUGUUUUCAUUCUCUUUGAUCCUGUCCCACAGUAUGGAUUCCCGUUUCCAUGCCAUACUUUCCAAGAUCUGUUCUUCAAUAUGAUUAAGGUGCUUCACUACUUCCCGACAAAGGCCAUCCUCUGCUCUGAUGAAAACCUCAAUUACCUGCAAAGGAGAUAAUUAUGAUUAGAAUAAUGUACUUUUUUUUUUUUUUUUUCAAAAAUACUUGUUUUUUUAUUUUUCAAGGAAGAAGAAAGUAUUAGAAAUACUAAGGCUGCAUUACGGUAACUCAAACAGGCCCAGCAGUGUUGCAGAACAGCUGCAGCCCUGGUUCAUGAAAAAAUGAGAAUCUAGUAGUUACUCUACAACUAGUGGGCCCCUGUUCCUGUGUUAAACUGACAGUGUUUUGGUUUUAGAUGCCUGAGGCACAACCCCAGGUUGACAGACACUUGGGUAAUACUUCAUCACAGGGGCAAAGCUGAGACUGAAGGGUUGCUGCUGUGCAAGUGGAGAUCAGUCAAUAGAGUACUCAUGACUCCAUAAACACUUCUAGCUGUCAAACACUUUACCUUAUAAAAGUGAUAAACUGGAAUGUCAAAUAUUUCCGUGAUGCAUGGGAAGUUUCCAGGUGGCUUGUAGGUAAAGGUGAUGAUCUCGAGGCAACAAGCCAGCAGAGACCGGUGGAACACGUCCUGCUCCAGGAUGGCCUGCAAGGGAGUUGCAAAGUUCAGUGAUUCAUUUACAGUGUAACUAUAGAACAGUAAAAUGCUUUCUGUUCUGCCUCUGCAGCAAGAUUAUCAAGCUUAUAAAGCAAGAUCUUAUUUUAUAUAAGAGAGCAGAAUCCAAAAAUGAGUCAUCUUUACUAAUUAAAAAUUACAUUUAUCUUUGCGUUCACAAAUUAUUUCCUGUAGGCUUUUUCUUUCAUUCAGGUGUGUUUACAGGCUGCUUUUCAGAGAUUUACCUUCAUUUUAAAUAGUUGUCUAUUCUGCUCUACAACUGGUAGAGUUUUAUUUUAGAUCCAACUCUAAAAAAUGAGGUAAAAAAUAGUUUUCCUUACGGAUAAGUCCAUGUCCCCCAGUCUCCUCCUCUCUUGCUCAAUGACUGACUCCAAGACCUUGUAAUACAGCACCUCUGCACGACGAAAAUGCUUACUAGCAACAUCUGCAGGAAUUUUAAGUAGAAACAAUAUUGUGAAAUACGACAAAAUAACUAUAUUCUUCAUCUUAAUCUAUAGAGAUUAAGCGAUUUAGUAGCUUGUGUGGAUUUCUGUGCUGUGGCCACAAUACUUGCAGGACUAAAUCAGGUCAUUUGAAGUUAAUUUAGGAAUCUCUCUCCUAUGUAGCACUGAAUUGUCAAUGCAGAGCAGAGUAACAUCUUACUGAACCCAGAUUUUUAUGAAAACAUCAUAUAGAAGAACAAACUUUUAAUGUGUUACAAUCAAAUCUAAUCUAAUAGACACAUUUCAAGUCCAGAAAAGAUGUUUGAAAAGUACACCUCUAUGGAUCCACUUGCACUGUGCCCCAGAACACGCUGAGCAGCUGUGCUGUGCAAAGAGCAGGCAGGGCUCCAGUAAGAAACAAGCUCAACAGCAUCUUCCUAAUUUUUAAUGUCACGUGCUUCACGGAUCUUUGCAAAUCUGCAAAUAAUACUUUUGUGUUUAUAGUGGCAGUAUUUUAAUAAUAUCUGCACUAACCCUGUGUAUAAGUCAAGAUUGCAGGACUUUGAAAGGCUACAGUGGGGUAGAUUUUCCAUGGCUGUCACAGAAAUCCAGGCCAUUGCCACUCAUGUAACUGAGAGAAAAGCAGAACCCUUAGGAGUGCUUUUUCCUUUCACUUCUGUAGAACUGAAAUGAUCAUCAGAUUCCAGGGAUUUAAGCUAAGGCCUGAUGAUAAAAUGUAUGCAGCUUGAAACUUACCAUGCCUUAAAACUACCAGGAAAAGACAGAAGUAAUAGAAGAGACUCUUCUGCUAAAGCAUAAGCUCCAAGUAAAACUGUAAGCUACUUAUAGGAGAUAAACAUAUUUACAGGUGUUUUAAUUCUUAUCUAUAUAAGUAAAAUGUUUCCUACCUUUGGAAAAAUUGCUGAAUUCUCCUUCAGCCUGCAGGCUCUGGCAGUACACCUCAUGCAUGUCUUUUACUCUGUUGGCAAUAGCUUGAGAUGGAUCUCUAGAACAUGCCCUGAAAAGAAAAUAAAAGCAUUUUCAACAUACUGUUCCUACCAAGACGAAAAAUUAGAAGAAACAUACAACUAUUUUUAUUAUAUGAUUAAAACAUGAAACUAUAAGUGCCUUGGAUUUAGCAAUACAAACACACCCACGUGUGCCUAACUGUAUAUGUGCUGUAAAGGGUCCACAGCAUAUUAUUAUUCUUGCAGGUAUUGUAAUAAAUAUGCACAUCUUUUCAUAAUAGGAUAAACAGCAUUUCACACGAUAAAAAAAAUUAUAUUGUGCCAGGGACAACAGUUCAUCUACAGGAAAAAUAUUUUUUUUUCAUCUUCUGCAGUAUGGAGGUUUGCUAGGUAGUGAGAUUUGCUAAGUAAGAAUAAUAAAAUUCUUAAAAUUUUGUAUUAGCAGUUUGGUGUUGGAGAAGCUCAAAACUGUUGGGUUUGAAGUGUUGGAUGUUCCUUCUGCCAUUGCUCUCUUAAUGAGAAAUGUGUCUGAAUAAACAGAACAACUUCUUUUGAAAUUCAAA